rnacentral:rRNA from 1 species
AGUGAACGCUGGCGGCGUGCCUAAUACAUGCAAGUCGAACGGAGUGGCGCACGGGUGAGUAAUGUAUAGCUAAUCUGCCCUACACUAGAGGACAACAGCUGGAAACGACUGCUAAUACUCUCUAGUGUAGGUUGAGGCUAUAUUGUAUCAGCUAGUUGGUGAGGUAAUGGCUCACCAAGGGUAUGACGCAUAACUGGUCUGAGAGGAUGAUCAGUCACACUGGAAGUGAGGCACGGUCCAGGCUCCUACGGGAAGCAGCAGUAGGGAAUAGUGCUCAAUGGGGGAGACUCUGAAGCAGCAACGGCGCGUGGAGGAUGACAAUUUACGGAGCGUAAACUCCUUUUGUUAGGGAAGCGGUACCUAACGAAUAAGCACCGGCUAACUCCGUGCCAGCAGCCGCGGUAAUUC